UGGUGGAGUGAUUUGUCUGGUUAAUUCCGAUAACGAACGAGACCUUAUCCUGCUAAAUAGUCACGUCAAGUCUUACUUGAUGGCCGACUUCUUAGAGGGACUGUUGCUGUUUAAGCAAUGGAAGUUUGAGGCAAUAACA
rnacentral:rRNA from 1 species